rnacentral:rRNA from 1 species
AAUCAACGCUGGCGGCGUGCCUAACACAUGCAAGUCGAACGCGAAAACCCCGCAAGGGGUUAGUAGAGUGGCAAACGGGUGAGCAACACGUGGGUGACCUGCCUUCGAGUGGGGGAUAACGUCCCGAAAGGGACGCUAAUACCGCAUGACAUCCUGCUUUUGGAAAAAGCGGAGAUCAAAGCUGGGGAUUCGCAAGAACCUGGCGCUUGAAGAGGGGCCCGCGCCUGAUUAGCUAGUUGGAGGGUAACGGCCUACCAAGGCGACGAUCAGUAUCCGGCCUGAGAGGGCGGACGGACACACUGGGACUGAGACACGGCCCAGACUCCUACGGGAGGCAGCAGUGGGGAAUUGUUCGCAAUGGGCGAAAGCCUGACGACGCAACGCCGCGUGGAGGACGAAGAUCUUCGGGUCGUAAAUUCCUGUCGAGUGGGAAGAAUGGGUUCGGGGAUAAACAUUCCCCGGAAUUGACGGUACCACUAAAGGAAGCCCCGGCUAACUCCGUGCCAGCCGCCGCUGUAAG